AUGAAAAGUUGGAGGAUGUCCCAGGAUGAGAACAUAGAUAUGGUACACCUGCUUGUCAAGAUUCUAACGUUAAUGUCCCACUUCCAGGAACAUGAAGAUGGACUGGUUUCACAUGCAGAUGUUGCAGCAUCUGCAUCUGAUGUUGGGAAGACACUCAAUCUACCUGCCAAUCCUCAUCUGAUUUUGCUGGUCAACAUUUUUGACUGCAGUUGCAAGUGUUUGCUGUGCACUACAUCUUCAACCUGCAGUAUCAAGAGGCGGCUUGUUGCACGUUAGAGUUUUUUCAAAGUUUUUUCAGUUCAUCAUCUGAAACUGUCAAAUGUGGUUU
rnacentral:lncRNA from 1 species